rnacentral:rRNA from 1 species
GAGGAAGUAAAAGUCGUAACAAGGUCUCCGUAGGUGAACCUGCGGAGGGAUCAUUACAAGUGACCCCGGUUUUACCACCGGGAUGUUCAUAACCCUUUGUUGUCUGACUCUGUUGCCUCCGGGGCGACCCUGCCUUCGGGCGGGGGCUCCGGGUGGACACUUCAAACUCUUGCGUAACUUUGCAGUCUGAGUAAAUUAAUUAAUAAAUUAAAACUUUUAACAACGGAUCUCUUGGUUCUGGCAUCGAUGAAGAACGCAGCGAAAUGCGAUAAGUAAUGUGAAUUGCAGAAUUCAGUGAAUCAUCGAAUCUUUGAACGCACAUUGCGCCCCCUGGUAUUCCGGGGGGCAUGCCUGUUCGAGCGUCAUUUCACCACUCAAGCCUCGCUUGGUAUUGGGCAACGCGGUCCGCCGCGUGCCUCAAAUCGACCGGCUGGGUCUUCUGUCCCCUAAGCGUUGUGGAAACUAUUCGCUAAAGGGUGUUCGGGAGGCUACGCCGUAAAACAACCCCAUUUCUAAGGUUGACCUCGGAUCAGGUAGGGAUACCCGCUGAACUUAAGCAUAUCAAUAAGCGGAGGAAAAGAAACCAACAGGGAUUGCUCUAGUAACGGCGAGUGAAGCAGCAAUAGCUCAAAUUUGAAAUCUGGCGUCUUCGGCGUCCGAGUUGUAAUUUGUAGAGGAUGCUUC